CAUGACCUGAGCCACAAUCAAGAGUUGGAUGCUCAACCGACCGAGCCACCCAGGUUCACCUCUCCCUUAACGAAGUUGAUAACCAGCGAAGUGAAAUCGAAGUCUGAAAAGUUGCCUCUGCAGAAAGAAAAUACUCAACUUAAGAUCCAAAAGAAUAAGGCAGCAAAAGGGAACUGGGGGACAACUAUGAUGCACUUAGGAGUGUGAAAGGGGCAAAGGACGCCAAAUGGGACAUGCUGAAGAAGAAUGUAGACAUUCGUGAUGGAAUGUGUGGACAAAGACAGAAGCUCACAGAAGAGUAAGACUUUCAGGAGUUGUUACAAACACUGUUGUAGAACAAAUGUGUCAGAUAGUGGGGAUAAUUUGCUUUCUUUGAGCACAUUUAACACCAACCAUACUUUUACCGUAGUAAUCAGUAAAGAAUUGUGUUUCUCCCUUCUGCCUUGAUUUCUGUGAUCUGCAUCUUCCUUCACUUUGUGGAAACCUCGGGUUUCAUUUUCAUUGUCCUUUACAUUUCAGUCCCAUUGUGGUGACAUGACUGCCAUAUGUGUAUAUAUUUGGUUAAACUCUAGACAUUGGGUAGGAAACAUUGGGAGGAGAAUUCAGGUGUACUGUGAUGGUAUCUUGCUGUAGAUGAUAUGGGAGUUUAUAUCUGGUAGGAGAUCAGGGGUGCUAGCAUUACUGAAACCUGUGAACUCAGUUUUCCUUCCUUUCCUUUCCUUUCCUUUCCUUUCCUUUCCUUUCCUUUCCUUUCCUUUCCUUUCCCUUCCCUUCCCUUCCCUUCCCUUCCCUUCCCUUCCCUUCCUUGCAUUCCUUUUCCAGGAGACAAUAUUCUGAAGGUGGGCAAUUCACAUCAUUUUCUUUUCAUCAGUGUAUUUUACAUUCUUCUCAACUGGUGUCUUUGAGGCAGGUGGCAGGAGUUCCCUCGUGAACUGUAGAAAUAUCCAGGAGGUCAUUGUACAGUGUUAAUGACAUGUGACCAAGAAAGAUGUCUCUAUGGCAAUGUCAUGGCCUGAGCCUUGGUUGAAAGUUCAGGGCUCUUGGGAGAAAUCAUUCAAGUCAGAAACCCCUGUGCCAUCCUUAUGUGUUUAGUUGUGAUGAGUUGGCCAGGCUUAGUUUUGUACACUGAAAAGAAAUACACUUAUGCCAUCCCAAUCACAAGAGCCUGAGACUGGGAGGGCACUUAGUGCAUCUCAUGUGGGCUUUUUAUAUUUAUGUGAUGUGUUGAUGAGUAGGAAUAGAGAGCUGUGAAGAGAAGCUCAAAGUUGCCAAAGACUUUCCAGCACGCUGGAGUUUGAGUUUGUUUAGUCCCUUAAUAGGGGGUGUCAAUGCUUCCCCCUGGUUGUGUUUGUGGAUCUGUGCAUUUACGGGGAAGGGGAGAGGGGACAUUUGAGUCCUGCCUUCAGAUUUCAGGGAGGUAAGAAAAGCAGAAGUUCACACGGGCUACCAGGUAAUGUAUGUUUCUUUCCACUCGUAGGGAGCUGGGACUGAAAGAAUGGGAGCAGGUGGAAGGGGAGAAGCAGCUGUCAGUUACAGAGGGGAAAGUGAAAUUAGCUGCAGAAGAGCUAUGGAACUGCAAGUGAGUGCAGCUCCUACCAGCAGCUCAUGCGACAGCCAUUGAAUUAGUUUGAAACUUUGUAUAGUGUUUAGACCCAAAUAGCACACAAAUAUACACAAACAUUCAGGAGACAUUCACUUCAAGAGAGAUGUGACCUUUUCCAGAUGUUAAAUUAAAAAUAUUAACCUAAGCAAGUUAAGUAACUAAAUAUUUCCUGAUCCCCAAUGCUGGCCAGACUAUGUGGAAAUGUGGUGCCUGAACAUGUUUCUGGAGGUGCUGGAAAUGAUUACAAACCUCAGGAAGCAGUUUGGUCGAGGACAAAUCACAUCGACAAGUAUGACCAUCCCAUUUUAGAGACCCACUUGUUGUAACCAUGAGAAAUAUGAUAAGGAUACAAGGAAAAGAAGAUUUGAACUUUACAAUGAGAGAUCUUCAUUGCAGAAUUAGGGAGCUGUCACCACAGGCAAGGAGACCGUGUCAAAGUGGAGCCCCACAGGCAUUAAAUAAUAAAUCCAAGAUGAUGUAGCAAUGGCUUUGAGCUUUCUGUACUCUCCUCCUCAUGUGAAAUGUGUUUUAUAUGAUUGGGUCGUGUGUAUGAGAAUUCAGUUCUUAUAAUGGGAACCUGGGCCAAUUAACAUCACCCUCAACAGGGUGCUUCAUCUGAUGAAGCCAUUGCACGCCCAGGAGAAGAGUAGAAGAAACACAAGAACAGCUGCAGCAGUCAGAGCUCACCUUUGGACACCAGGUAGCCUGCACUCUGCCUAGUAGUUCCUGAGUGCUUCAGCACCUAACACAGAUGAUCAUAACGGGACACUGAACCUCUCCACAUGGGUUUUAUUGAUGUGCUGACUCUUUCAGAUUGCUCUUUGUGAGAAGGCACUUCAGGACAACUGGGUAAGAAUGUUUUACUCUCCUCCUCUUGUGCACACCCUGCCACAGCUGAACGUGGAUGUGUUUCUCUCUUGAGCUCAGGGCUCAUGAUGUGGAGAGGGCAGUGGCGGAGCAGACAGGGGGGUCGCCUACUUGAAAUGCAGGUACAGAGUUUUGACAGGCGCUGUGAGGUUUUUAAAAAGGCUAAACCGUUUGGUGUCCAAUGGAGGCCUGGGUGUGGUAACUCUUUUUAAAAAAAUUUUUUUUCAACGUUUUUUUAUUUAUUUU